rnacentral:rRNA from 1 species
GACGAACGCUGGCGGCGUGCUUAACACAUGCAAGUCGAACGGAAAGGCCCUGCUUUUGUGGGGUGCUCGAGUGGCGAACGGGUGAGUAACACGUGAGUAACCUGCCCUUGACUUUGGGAUAACUUCAGGAAACUGGGGCUAAUACCGGAUAGGAGCUCCUGCUGCAUGGUGGGGGUUGGAAAGUUUCGGCGGUUGGGGAUGGACUCGCGGCUUAUCAGCUUGUUGGUGGGGUAGUGGCUUACCAAGGCUUUGACGGGUAGCCGGCCUGAGAGGGUGACCGGCACCGUGGGGAUUGAGAUACGGCCAGGCCCCCUCGGGGGGGCAGGAGGGGGGAAUUUUCCCAAAGGGGCGGAACCCUGAUGCAGCACCCCCGGGGGGGGGAUGACGGCCUUCGGGUGGUAACCCGCUUUCCCCUGUGACGAAGGGUGGGGGGCGGUAAUGGUUAAAGAACCCCCGGCGAACUACGU